CUGGCAUGGGUAUUUGGGCACGAUU
rnacentral:misc_RNA from 1 species